UGCAGUCGAGCGGAACGAUGUAGCUUGCUACAGGCGUCGAGCGGCGGACGGGUGAGUAACGCGUAGGAACCUACCUAGUAGUUUGGGAUAGCCCAGAGAAAUUUGGAUUAAUACCGAAUACGCCCCACGGGGGAAAGCGGAGGAUCUUCGGACUUCGCGCUAUUAGAUGGGCCUGCGUAAGAUUAGCUUGUUGGUGAGGUAAUGGCUCACCAAGGCAACGAUCUUUAGCUGGUUUGAGAGGAUGAUCAGCCACACUGGGACUGAGACACGGCCCAGACUCCUACGGGAGGCAGCAGUGGGGAAUAUUGCACAAUGGGCGAAAGCCUGAUGCAGCCAUACCGCGUGUGUGAAGAAGGCUCUAGGGUUGUAAAGCACUUUCAGUAGGGAGGAAAGGUUGUAGAUUAAUACUCUGCAGCUGUGACGUUACCUACAGAAGAAGGACCGGCUAACUCCGUGCCAGCAGCCGCGGUAAUACGGAGGGUCCGAGCGUUAAUCGGAAUUACUGGGCGUAAAGCGUACGUAGGUGGUUUGUUAAGUUGGAUGUGAAAGCCCAGGGCUCAACCUUGGAACUGCAUUCAAAACUGAUGAACUAGAAUAUGGUAGAGGUAAGUGGAAUUUCCUGUGUAGCGGUG
rnacentral:rRNA from 1 species